rnacentral:rRNA from 1 species
UCUACGGGGAGGCAGCAGUGGGAAUAUUGCACAAUGGGCGAAAGCCUGAUGCAGCGACGCCGCGUGAGGGAUGACGGCCUUCGGGUUGUAAACCUCUUUCAGCAGGGAAGAAGCGAAAGUGACGGUACCUGCAGAAGAAGCGCCGGCUAACUACGUGCCAGCAGCCGCGGUAAUACGUAGGGCGCAAGCGUUGUCCGGAAUUAUUGGGCGUAAAGAGCUCGUAGGCGGCUUGUCACGUCGGAUGUGAAAGCCCGGGGCUUAACCCCGGGUCUGCAUUCGAUACGGGCAGGCUAGAGUUCGGUAGGGGAGAUCGGAAUUCCUGGUGUAGCGGUGAAAUGCGCAGAUAUCAGGAGGAACACCGGUGGCGAAGGCGGAUCUCUGGGCCGAUACUGACGCUGAGGAGCGAAAGCGUGGGGAGCGAACAGGAUUAGAUACCCUGGUAGUCCACGCCGUAAACGGUGGGCACUAGGUGUGGGCAACAUUCCACGUUGUCCGUGCCGCAGCUAACGCAUUAAG